rnacentral:rRNA from 1 species
UACGUAGGGGGCAAGCGUUGUCCGGAUUUACUGGGCGUAAAGCGCACGUAGGCGGCUUUGUAAGUCAGAGGUGAAAUCCCGGGGCUCAACUCCGGAACUGCCUUUGAGACUGCAUCGCUUGAAUCCAGGAGAGGUGAGUGGAAUUCCGAGUGUAGAGGUGAAAUUCGUAGAUAUUCGGAAGAACACCAGUGGCGAAGGCGGCUCACUGGACUGGUAUUGACGCUGAGGUGCGAAAGCGUGGGGAGCAAACAGG